rnacentral:rRNA from 1 species
AGUGAACGCUGGCGGUAGGCCUAACACAUGCAAGUCGAACGGCAGCACAGUAAGAGCUUGCUCUUACGGGUGGCGAGUGGCGGACGGGUGAGGAAUACAUCGGAAUCUACUUUUUCGUGGGGGAUAACGUAGGGAAACUUACGCUAAUACCGCAUACGACCUACGGGUGAAAGCAGGGGAUCUUCGGACCUUGCGCGAUUGAAUGAGCCGAUGUCGGAUUAGCUAGUUGGCGGGGUAAAGGCCCACCAAGGCGACGAUCCGUAGCUGGUCUGAGAGGAUGAUCAGCCACACUGGAACUGAGACACGGUCCAGACCACUACGGGAAGCAGCAGUCGGGAACAUUGGACAAUGGGCGGAAGCCUGAUCCAACGAUAGCGCGUAGGAGAAGAAGGCCUUCUGGUUGUAAAGCCCUUAUGUGGGGAAAGAAAAGCAGCAGCCUAAUACCCCGCUGUUCUGACGGUACCCAAAGAAUAAGCACCGGCUAACUUCGUG